rnacentral:lncRNA from 1 species
GACAGGGUCAUGGCAGCGUACGCGAGGGUUGGAGGCGAGCGACCCUCUAGAGCCGCGCACGUCGAGAGGUAGCGGCCGUGCCCCUCCUCCUUCCCUUCUCUUCUCCCCUCCUCCUCUCCAAUCUAGGCUGUCGUCCUCUCACAUCUUCCUCUUCCAGUUUUUUAAACCUAAUUUGAUUUCUCAAUUUCUGGUUACUUGUGAAGAGUAGAAGAAUUUUGAUGAAGAACAGUGUGAAUUCUCUCUCUCUCUCUCUCUCUCUCUCUCUCUCUCUCUCAAUACAAUCAUGUUCGUUCCUGCAUUUUGAUGUUUGAUUUUUUCUGUGUAAUAGAUCACAUGGCAUGAUUUUAUACUCCUAUUAACUACUGACAAAAGCUAGAUUUGUAAAUGAAGGUCUCAAAAGUGUUUGUUUUUACCUUUGGUCAGACCAGUACAUGGUGUUGGUCAUGUAGAAGAUGUUGGUCAUGCCUCUGUAUGAGCUAGCUGUAAUAUUUUUCCACAGAAUAUGAUGAUUCAUGUUCAUCUUAGAUAUGGUUGUUUUCACCAUACCAAAGUACAUGGAAAUCUAGGCUUGCAGAUUAAUACAACUCAGAUGCUUUGUUUUGGGGAGGAGGUAGAAAUCAGUGGUUGUGCUUAAGCUUUUGUUCUUUAUUUACCUUUGAGGCAUAAAUUCAAAUGAUUAGUAUAUGCAUGGUAAUUUUUGUGCUUUUGUCAACCACUAGAGGACCGUGUGGCAACUAAUUUAUGCUUGAUUAUCUCCUCCUUUUCAUUCCCGACGUUUAGCUCUUGCCCUUGAUCACUUGAAAGGAGCUCUUCCUCGGCCUCCGCCUGGGCGCGACCUGCACUGUCAGUAUGUAUCUUGUGGCCAUGCCAAAAAUAAACACUUAAUAAAAUUUCUGUUUUUAACUAAUCCCUCUUCCGUUUCAGUCAUGUUCAAGUCUGAAUGCCUUUUCUCCUAUAUAUAUAUUUAUAUAUAUAUAUAUAUGUGUGUUACAUCAGGUGAUGACAUAAUUUAGUUAAUGGCAUUAUGGCAGGACUCAUGUUGUCAUUGGUUACAAUGGUGGCUCAUGAAGUUCAAAAAAUGUGUUCUUUACAGAUUUAAGAUGAUAGAAAUUCAGAAUAGGUAAGACAAUAAGCCAUGUUUAUUCUUUGAUGCUCUAGCUGUCAUAUGUCGCAUAGUUUUUUCCGCCCCACAUACUACUGGCCGCCUCUAUGUUGUUUUAUUAGAUCCAUCUCCAUGAGCUUUGUUAUUUAUAGUGGAUCUGUUUAUUAUUUUCGGUCCAGCUUAGGGUAAGCAUUAUGAAUGACAUGCUGUUUUCAUCCUUUUGUUGUCAAUAAUUGAUGUGGGUAUGCUUUAGUUUUCUCUCCGCGGCCAACUUACUGUAGUUAGUGAAGAAAAAGAUAAUUGAAGGAAGUACAUGCUAUACUACUAUGUUGACUAGAUAAAAAUAUUAUGGAUGGAGUGUUUUAGUUGUGUUCAAACUUCAGGGGAGGAGUACAGCCAGCCAGGUUAGUGUGUACAUUGCUUUUAUAUUUUUAACGGGCUGAUGCGCAUGCAUUCUUUGUGUUUCCCUAAAAUGAGCUAAUUAAUUCACUUAAUUUUCCGUGUGAUUUGCAGCACUGCAAUAGAAGAAAAUGCAGAAAGAAUGAACAAGAAGCUAUAGAUGGAUAUGUCCAGGUUGCAAUUUUUCUACCUCCACCCCAUGUUUCAACUUAUGAUUUAGUUGAUAGUAUGAUUCCUUGCCUGGGAGGAUGCCAUAAACAAGAUAUGCAUUAAGUUUCUCAUGCAUUUUCAUUAUAGUUGCUUUUUGCUAGAGCAGAUCAUUUUAGAUGGAUAUAUAUGU